rnacentral:rRNA from 1 species
ACUCCCGUGAGAAUGCCCUAACAGCUCCCCGCCCGGGAGCAAGGAGCUGGUAUCAGGCACACAACUGUAAGCCCACGACACCUUGCUUAGCCACACCCCCAAGGGAACUCAGCAGUGAUAAAUAUUAAGCAAUAAGUGAAAACUUGACUUAGUUAAGGCUAAAAGGGCCGGUAAAACUCGUGCCAGCCACCGCGGUUAUACGAGAGACCCGAGUUGAUAUUUUCCGGCGUAAAGAGUGGUUAUGGAAUAUAUAAACUAAAGCCGCACCCCUUCAAAGCUGUUAUACGCAUCCGAAGGACAGAAGCCCAACCACGAAGGUGGCUUUACAACCCCUGACCCCACGAAAGCUAUGGCACAAACUGGGAUUAGAUACCCCACUAUGCUUAGCCGUAAACAUUGGUAGGCCAACUACACCCCCUACCCGCCUGGAUACUACGAGCAUUAGCUUGAAAUCCAAAGGACUUGGCGGUGCUUUAGACCCCCCUAGAGGAGCCUGUUCUAGAACCGAUAAUCCCCGUUCAACCUCACCUUUCCUUGUUAAUCCC